CUGAGCUGAAACCAUGGGAUCCUUUUCACCUGAGAGGAGCCCGAACCACCUGGAACAGGCACAGUGCCCCUGGAGCCCCAAGGCUGCCAGUGGAGCCUGGUCCUGGGAGCCAGGCUGGGUGGGGCCGUUCCUUGCUUUCGAGGCCAUGGCAGCCAAUGACUAGAUCAGUCAGGUCCUGCUGCAGGCUGCAGGUGACUGUUGGGGACAGGACGGGAGCUGGCUUCCUACUCAGGACAGGGGGAAGCCUCACUCCUAUGGCCUCCAUGGCGUGGACUCCCCAGACCCCAUCCAACGGUGCCCAGCCCCUGUCCGAGCUCAGAUGUGGGGUAGGCUGAAGCAGAGGAGGGUCCUGCCUAUGGGGUGAGGCCCAGUAUCUGUGCGCCUUGUCCUCGCAAGGUCCCAGGAAGACACAGGACGGCACUUCCUAUGUCAUGAGGAUAGCAGAGCAGAUCCAAGGCCCUGCAGCAGGUUCGGUGGCCCUGUGCAUGGGGGACACACAGCUGGGACCCCAACGCUGGGACCCCAAUGCUGGGACCCCAACCUUGAGCCCAACAGGAGCUGGGACAGUGUGAGCUAAGGGCUGCACUGGUCACCCGCACGAGCCCCAACACCUAGGCAGAGACCUGCCAGGCCCUACAGGCAGCUGGCCCGAGCCUGGGGCCCCCACCUUUUCUCUGUGCAGUCUGGGGAUGUGGCCCGUACACCAGGCCCAGAGGUGUUCGGCCUUGGCCUUCCCUCCUUGGCUUCCAGCGCUGCCUGCUCAGCCAUCAGUAUCUACUGUGGACCUGUGGGUGCCGCCAGUGCUGGAUCAGGCCUGAGCUGAGAGUCCUCCACCCUGCAGCCCCAGCGGACAGCCAAGGCUGGACAGGUCACAGUGCCCCGUCCCCAGCUGGAGCCAGGGUGGCCGAGGCUGGGCCCACUCAGAGAGGGGCCGGGGUUGACCAGGGCCAGAGGGGCUGUCCUGCUGGGCCACACCCUCCCUGCCUCCUGCCAGUGUCCUGCCUGGGAGCCCUGUGCAUGGGGGGGGGGGUCACAGCCCCUCGGCCUUGCUGGGGUGGGGUGUAGUUCUGAGCAGUAGCCCCUGGGCCAGGGAUGGCUGGGUGGGGAGCCCAGCCAGGCCACAGGCAGCCUCUGAGGGCAGGCACAGAGCCAGGUUUCCAAUGGCAGUGGGGAGUGUUUUAGCAGGCAUGGAAUCCUGGAAAUUGCUCAGGAAAAACCCUGUCCUCGGGCCAGCCAGCCUGGCCGAGGGGGAGGGGAGUGUGGCCUGGGCACAGCUGUGGGGUAGCCACAGGACCUUGUGCUGGCCCAGGCUCUGCAGGUGCGCGCAGCGGCGACAGGGUCUCUGCUCACUGUCAGGCUGUGCUGGCCCCCCACGGCUGACACUGGCCACUGUGUCGCCAAGGCCCCUUCCUCCAUCCCCUCUGUCCCCCGACAUCCAGGACAUGCCAGGGUCCAGACUGAGCCUCAGUCAGCCCCCAUGCUCGCCCCACAGCCCCGCGGGCACUCAGGUAGGGCUCCCCAGGCCUUCUGCCCCUGCUGUUAGGCCAGGUCACUCCCUGGGCUGGCUGGUUCAGCCUGGCACACGGCCCGAAGGACAGGAAGCCCUUAGGCCUCUGCCCAUAGGCCCAGCCACUCCCUGUCAUUCACGUCCUUCCUUACCUACUGGGUCUUCUGUUUAGUACUGGGGAUCGAACUCAGGACCUUGCACUGAGAGGCAGGCACGGUGCCACUGAGCUACACCCCCAGCCCCUCCCUCACCUGUUGUUCUCACCCCAGCCAGGACCUGAUCUCCCAGGGAGGGUGCCGUGCACUGGGCGCCAGACAGACAGACGUCGGGCAGUGCCCAAUACCUCCAGGCAGCCUUGGCUGCACCCAGGCCACGGAGAGGCGAGACAUGCCCACCUAGAAGACACCAUGAAAGAGCAAUGAAGACUACAAACCACUGGGCAUGGGCUCCCACCUGGUAUCUCAGCUACUGAGGAGGCUGGAGCAGGAGGAUCCCACGUUCUAGGUUGGCCUGGCAACUCAGAGAGACCUGUCUCAAGACGAACAUGAAGAAGCCUGGGUCUGUGGCUCAGUGGUAGAGCACUGGCCUAACCUCCGUGAGGCCUGAGUUCCAUCCCCAGCACUGAAAAAAAUAUAUGUAUAUGAGCAAACCAGAUCUAUAUGGAAAAAAUCCUGAUGCGUUCCCAAGGGACAGAGGGUCCAGUGGCAGAAAAGAAUGUUUGUCUCGGGCAGAAGACACAGGUCACAGCUGCGUCAUUCAUACGAAGCAAACCUCAUGAUCAGACGCGAGCCGAUUAAAAGCACCAGAGAGGGCUGGGGAUUUAGCUCAGUGGUGCCGCCACCUGCCCCGAAAGUGCAAGGGAUCCGAGUUCGAUCCCUGGUACCAAAAAAAAAAAACAAAAAACACCAGAGAAUUUUUCUGUUACCUUGGUGAGUUUUAUGAGGUUAAUAUGAAAAAACAAACGAGG
ensembl:lncRNA